UACGUAGGGUGCAAGCGUUGUCCGGAAUUAUUGGGCGUAAAGAGCUCGUAGGCGGUUCGUCGCGUCGGCUGUGAAAACCUGAGGCUCAACCUCAGGCCUGCAGUCGAUACGGGCGGACUUGAGUACUGCAGGGGAGACUGGAAUUCCUGGUGUAGCGGUGAAAUGCGCAGAUAUCAGGAGGAACACCAGUGGCGCAGGCGGCUCUCUGGGUCGGCCCUGACGCUGAGGCGCGAAAGCGUGGGGAGCGAACGGG
rnacentral:rRNA from 1 species